GGAGAGAGAAGUUGCGACCGGGAGCCAGACACCUGAUGCUGGUAUAUGAGUUCCCUGAAUGUAGAGAGCAGUUGUUCCCGUGCUCUGAGCAUUCAGAGAUUAUGCGGCCACAGCCAUGCCUUUGAUAUGCAUAAUUCAAGGGGAGCAGACACAAGCCAGUGGUUGCAGUAUCAUCGCUCGAGUCUUCUGUAAGCGAUUUAUCAGCAGGUCGAGCUGAACAUGGACAUGAGGUAAGCCCUACCCUUGGUCAAAAUUUAGUUUCCUCAGCUUCUGCAUGGAAUUGUAAGGAUUUGGGAUAUAUCACAAAAUCCAGCAGAUUUUCUCUCACUUUUGGAUUAAUCUUUUCCUCUUGAAGAAGAUGACAUUCUUAGCCGGGUGGUGGUGGCGCUCGCCUUUAAUCCCAGCACUCGGGAGGCAGAGGCAGGUGGAUCUCUGUGAGUUUGAGGCCAGCUUGGUCUAA